GCAAGAGAGGCCUCUGGGAGCUGAAGAAGAUUUGAUCAUGUUCGGCCUGGUGCUAAAAACAAAAUUGAAAAAAAAAGAUUAUCGCUAAAAUUGCUUCUCUCCUACAGGCAGGAAGAAAUACAUGAAACUGGGCACCCAAAUUGUCAGAGUAUCUUGAUGAUAAGUUUGCAGGUUACUUCCAAGUCUGACAGGAGAAACAGCGAGUUUGAGACUAUGAACAGGAAGGACAGCUGUUAUGAUAACCUGACUUUUCCCAACAAGAGUGGCAAAAUGAAUUUCUCCACUGAAGAGCAGAUCCUUCCUCUUCAAUAUAUUAUUAAAAGAUUGAAAGGCAAAACUCCUCAGGUGGAUGCUACCACUACCUUACUUCGAAAAUGAAGUUGUUGUUCCAGAAUUUAAUUGGAAAGGACUCAGCACACACCAUGAAAGGCCAUUCCUUGCAGCUUCCUUGAUGACCCAGAAUGAAUUUGACUUCAGGCUGAAGAAGCUGGGAGGAAACCACUCAUGCCAGCUGCCUUUUUCUUGUCAUGCCAUGAUUGUCACAGAAAUAAAGAUUGUGUGGAAGGUGGCUAAGGAGUUAAAUAGAGUCAGGAAAAAAAAGAAAAAAGAAAAAAGAAAAGAAAAAACACUAUAAAAAUAAAAGGCACCAAUAAAAUAUACCAAUAACUUAGCAUAACACCAAUAUAUCACACUGUAAAAUGAGUAAAUUAAACUCUUUUAAAUUUUACCACUUGCUGCUACUGGUGGGUGUCAUUUCCCACCACACCUUUAUCUUCACAAACGAGUUUAGCACCAAGGAAUGAUGCAGAUAUGUAGGAGUGACAACUAUCAGGCAGUCAAUAUGCCUGAAUAACCUGAGCUCCAACGGGUCUUUUUCUCUGGGACAGCUCUACACCAAAGGAAAAUGUAAAUGAGAAAGAUUAUGCUAUUACAGCCUUGCUCUCUAUGCGGUGUGAGGAAAUACAGAAUUUUAAAUAGGGCAUGACUUGUCGAAGCCAGACUGUCACUUUUUUCGUGCCUUGGAUCCUUUCAAUACAUGGCUCUUAUGAGGAACCAAAACCAAUGGCAGUGCUGGUCAAUGCAACCAAGAUCCGAGCAUCCCAUGCCUAUGUAAUGAUGUUGCAUGAUGAGAAACAUCUGUGAGAUCAUUCAGUUAGACAUUCUGAGGAAGGAGGAAAACAGUUUUUUUUAAAUAAAUCUGUUUUCAACCAAGCAACAUAUUUCCUGUCUAAAAUACUAUGGAGAUAACAUUAAAAACGUCCUGAAAUAAAUUCACUUUUUUCUAUUUUUGGCUUUCCUAGAAAUUAUACCAACUUCUUUAGAAAUUGAACUUUAUAUCAUUCAAUGUGAUUUGAGAUUGAAAAAAUUUCCAGAUAUCAGUGAUCCUUAUAAAAGUGGAAAGCUUCUAAAUCCUAUUGACAAAGCUACUAAGUUUAUGCUUUAAAAGUAGGUCACCUGGGAAUAAGGGAAAACCUGCUUUUCUGGUAGUAGCAAAAGGCUACUAAGAUUUGCUGUUGGUGUACUGAAGGGGCAUAUUAGCAAGCCAAAAAGCAGGAAGGUGGGUAUUUAUUUGCAUGCUUUAAAAACUGGCAGAAAUGAGAUGUGCUUGAAGAAAAUCAUUCAGUCUUUUGGUGACAUGUUCUACAUACAUCUUGAACUCCAAUCCCACAGCAGUGUGCCAUUAAAACUGCAGAAAACGUAAAUGCCCAGUGUAUUAGCAAUGAAGCUUUCUUAAUUGCAGUGCUAUAAAUGCUCUACUUCAGAAGGAACAACACACAAUGGCUUCUCCUGAUUACAAUUAUGUGAUGAAUACAUCUGAGGAAAAAGUCAAUCAAAGUAGAUCAUGAUUCUCAGCCUACUUAAAAGCCUCAGUUUCACAGAGAGAAACUGUAGUGUGACUGAAACUAAGAUCUUGCCUCUCAGAAGCUCUGCUGCCAAUACUGUGUUGCACCAGUUAUGAGAUUGAUGGAUAUCUGUCUGUUUGUUGAGAUCUUAUGUUUGAGGUGAAUUUAUAGAUUUUUUAUACAAAAACAUAAUUUGGGGAAAAUAGUUUUGAGUGUUUUAAGUAUAUUUCUUCACAUCGCUGGUUGACACAUGACCUGAAUAUAUAUCCAUAAACUCUACUGCAUGAUAGUUUAAAUAUAAAAUAUUUAUUAUUUAAGUUAUUUAUUGAAAAAUUGCUUACCCAGUAAAUAUAUGAAUUUCAAAAGAAUUAAUGGUAAUCUUGGCAAAAAAUAUAUAAAAGAAAAAUUAGAAAAUUUUGGUGUGAAAAUUAUAUAAACAGGACAAUUCUUUUUCCCUUAACGCUAGUUUCACUAUGCUAUUUGGACAGUUUUUUCAGUCAAAAUUAGCACGAAGACAGGAUUGUUUGUAUAAGGCUAAGAAGAAUGGGCUUAAGGCCUGAGGUGUAUUUCUGUAAGAAAGGCCAAAAUAGACAGUUUUUCCUAAAAUCAAAUUUCUGAAUGUAUAUAUUUUAUUUUAUGUUUACCUAGAGGAGACAGUUCUUUUACACUAUUAAAAGUAAUCCUGCCCUGUACUUGGAAUUGGUGAGGCCUCACCUCGAGUACUGUGUUCCGUUUUGGGCACCUCGGUACAGAAAGGACAUUGAGGUGCUGGAGC